UAGUUUUUCCACCGAAUCUAUGCUACAACCUAAGUCCGCUGAAAGCAUUACGUUUUUCUCCUUCGAGUUUUCUCACCGACGUCGACGCCCACGCCGCACCUUCUCCACCAUUGCCUCACCACCAACGCUCGACGGCUCCAUAUCCACCCUCACCAUCGUCGGCCGGUCUUCAUCUUGCCUAUUUUUCCCAAACCUCAUCUCCGAUCGGACGCCACCAUCAUCAUCACCGGCACACUGAGGAAAGGGCUUCCCUCCCUUCGGUCAUCGCCAAUCACCUCACCCAUCAAGGUAAGGGACUUCCCUACCUAAUCUUCUUCUCUCCAUCUUCUUUGGCAAGCAUCAGCUGCAAUCCAUCUGCUCCAUCCACCGGAAAGGAGUGGGGCUUCCCUUCCUCAAUCGGGGGCCUCUCCUCCAUCGAUCAGCAACUUUCCAUUAUCCAUUUGAGCAACUAAUAUUAGAUUUGAAGCUCCAAUGGAUCUUCCCACAAUUCCUCUUUCAUCAGCCAUCCACAGUUCUUCCACGGCUUCUCAGAUAGGUCACCUCCAAUCCGGAUAGCAAGCAGUGCAGCCUUCAUCUCGAUCAAAUCUGGAUAGACUGAGCCUUGGGGUUUCCCUUUGGUGGAAAGCAGCCUUCAUCCAAGAUCUAGUUCCAAUAGACCUUCCAAGAUCCAAGUCACAUACCUACAUGUGGUGUGGGCAAAGAAGGUAGUAAAUUGUCACAACAUAUUGCUGCUCAGUUGGGAGUAUUGAACAGAGAUAGUAUCUGCUUCAUCCCAUACAAUACUAGAUAAGAAUAUGAUACAUUUAUUAGACUCUUUGAGUAACAGGAAUCGAUACCAUGCUUGGAAAUCUAUUGUGACCAAUGGGGUCAAGAUAUACAAUGCAUCAAGGCGUAUUUCAAAAGGAUCAGAUUUUAAACAAUUGAUGGUAUGUAUUGUAACUAUGUAUUUAAACAUCAAUUAAUAAUUCUUAUUAUCUGGAUUGUGACUUAUUGCAUUAUAUUUUCAAUUUCAUUAUGAUAAUCUAAAACAAAA